rnacentral:rRNA from 1 species
UACGUAGGGUGCGAGCGUUUAAUCGGAAUUACUGGGCGUAAAGCGUGCGCAGGCGGUCUGUUAAGACCGAUGUGAAAUCCCCGGGCUUAACCUGGGAACUGCAUUUGUGACUGGCGGGCUAGAGUAUGGCAGAGGGGGGUGGAAUUCCGAGUGUAGAGGUGAAAUUCGUAGAUAUUCGGAAGAACACCAGUGGCGAAGGCGGCGACCUGGUUCAUAACUGACGCUGAGGCGCGAAAGCGUGGGGAGCAAACAGG